AUGGUACUUCAUUGCUGUGCAAAGAGAAAAGCCCCUUCCCUCAUUGUCACGCUUGACUUUAGGAAAGCUUUUGACUCUGUUUGCUGGUCCUCCCUCCUACACAUCUUGCGGGUCAGAGGGUUCCCCCCUCGGUGGUGUGAUUGGAUUGAAUCAUUGCUUACCACUGGGUCUACUGCAGUGAUGCUCAAUGGCAUCCCCGGAAGAUGGAUCCAAUGCAAGAAUGGCCUCCGGCAAGGUGACCUUCUAUCUCCGUAUUGUUCAUCAUUGUUGCUGAUAUCCUACAACAAAUGA
rnacentral:rRNA from 1 species